rnacentral:ribozyme from 13 species
AAAUAAUGCACACAACAGCAUCCUUGAAAAAGUGCUGUAAAAGACGUCUCAUUUCUAUACGCACGCCUGCCUGUUCCUUCUUCGUUCUUUCGUUCUUCUUUUCUUUCUUUCUUUCGUUUAAACGG